rnacentral:tRNA from 1 species
CAGAGAAUAGUUUAAGUAAAAUAUUAAUUUUGGAGAUUAAUGAUAGGAUUGGUCUUUUCUCUGA